rnacentral:rRNA from 1 species
UACGAAGGGGGCUAGCGUUGCUCGGAAUCACUGGGCGUAAAGGGUGCGUAGGCGGGUCUUUAAGUCAGGGGUGAAAUCCUGGAGCUCAACUCCAGAACUGCCUUUGAUACUGAAGAUCUUGAGUUCGGGAGAGGUGAGUGGUAACUGCGAGUGUAGAGGUGAAAUUCGUAGAUAUUCGCAAGAACACCAGUGGCGAAGGCGGCUCACUGGCCCGAUACUGACGCUGAGGCA